rnacentral:lncRNA from 1 species
CUGUGGACUCCACCUGCUCUGCUCUCAGCGUGAUGUGCUGCUCUCUAGCUCAGAAAAACUGCCUUCUUCCUACGCUUCAGAGACUGACAAGGUGCUGACAUUAGGUGUGAGAAGGCCUAAAGGAGUUAGCACCAUGCAGAAUAUCAUUGGGCCAUCUGACCCGCAGCUGGCUGGAAUGACAGACUGCAGUUCCAUCAGUGCCAUCUACUGCACGAGCCACACAGAGCCUCUUGUCUACCUGUCCCAGCAGAACAGCUGUGUGCGCAGGGAGCUGUGCCUUUGGUUUGGAGGGAGGGCUGCUGAUGCAGCACUGCAUGGUGGUAUCCUGGAUCUGACUUCCAGAUGCAACAGAACAAGAUCUCAGAGUCCUUCGUCAACUAGAGCAGAAGCAGAUGAGGAAAAGGUUUAUCUCCAGGGCAUGGAGCAGUCUCCACCUCCAGCAAUGCUUGUCUCACCUACCAACGGUUUGUAAUAGGGAACUAAUCUUGAGGUUUCAUGGUUCUCCUUCACUGACAGAGUUACCUCACUCCAGUGCACCUGUUUCAGGAAAUUCUGC